rnacentral:rRNA from 1 species
UGCAACCUACCCUUUACAGGCGGAUAGCUCGGGGAAACUCGAAUUAACCCGCCAUAAUAUAAUUGGAUGGCAUCAUUUGAUUAUUAAAUCUGCGGAGGUAAAGGAUGGGCAUGCGUCUGAUUAGUUAGUUGGUAGUGUAACGGACUACCAAGACGAUGAUCAGUAGGGGAACUGAGAGGUUGAUCC